GAGUGGGAUUACUCGAGUGGAGAGGCGGCUCAGUGGAGCAACGCGAGCCCAAUCCGAACUUGGAUAGCCGUCCGCAUGGAAAGUGGUUUCGAAAGGCGCUCGUCUUCGUUAUGAUAUUCUUGGCCUGGGUCAAGGUGGCGCAUGCCAGAGAUCCUCCCCUAAGUGCCUCGUGGAGCCGAUCCCUUCCUCGCUUCCUAGCCACCGUUUAGGGGGAUCAGGGGCCACUCGACCCCACUCCAUUGAGCGCGUGUUCGCAUUUAUCUCUGGGCAUCUGCAAGCGUUUGGGGUGACGUCAGCCCAGCCAUAGGUGCUACUUACAAAGGCGUAAUAGGUACAUCAACUAAUGGCCGUAAUACUUUCAUGCUUCAUUUCUGCGGUUGGCGCAACUAAUGGCUUCCGCAUGAUAUUUUUGCUUGAGUGUCAAACGUGCAGAGCCAAAGAUCGAUGCUCCCAUUUGCCACCCUUUUCUUGGAUAUUCCCUACUUUCUUGGGAGGUGAGCG